CCUACGGGUGGCUGCAGUGGGGAAUAUUGCACAAUGGGCGCAAGCCUGAUGCAGCCAUGCCGCGUGUGUGAAGAAGGCCUUCGGGUUGUAAAGCACUUUCAGCGGGGAGGAAGGCGGUGAGGUUAAUAACCUCAUCGAUUGACGUUACCCGCAGAAGAAGCACCGGCUAACUCCGUGCCAGCAGCCGCGGUAAUACGGAGGGUGCAAGCGUUAAUCGGAAUUACUGGGCGUAAAGCGCACGCAGGCGGUCUGUCAAGUCGGAUGUGAAAUCCCCGGGCUCAACCUGGGAACUGCAUUCGAAACUGGCAGGCUAGAGUCUUGUAGAGGGGGGUAGAAUUCCAGGUGUAGCGGUGAAAUGCGUAGAGAUCUGGAGGAAUACCGGUGGCGAAGGCGGCCCCCUGGACAAAGACUGACGCUCAGGUGCGAAAGCGUGGGGAGCAAACAGGAUUAGACACCCUUGUAGUC
rnacentral:rRNA from 1 species